rnacentral:rRNA from 1 species
UACGGGGGGGGCAAGCGUUGUUCGGAAUUACUGGGCGUAAAGGGUGCGUAGGCGGCUUUCUAAGUUGGAUGUGAAAACUCUGGGCUCAACCCAGAGACUGCAUCCAAAACUGGAGAGCUUGGGUUCUGGAGGGGAAAGCGGAAUUCCUGGUGUAGCGGUGAAAUGCGUAGAUAUCUGGAGGAACACCGGUGGCGAAGGCGGCAUCCUGGACCGGCAUUGACGCUGAGGAGCGAAAGCCAGGGGAGCAAACGGG